rnacentral:rRNA from 1 species
AGGACGAACGCUGGCGGCGUGCCUAACACAUGCAAGUCGAACGAGAUCCAACCGGUAGCAAUACCGGUGAAGAUCGAGUGGCGAACGGGUGAGUAGCACGUGAGCAACCUGCCCCGAAGACCGGGACAACACCGGGAAACCGGUGCUAAUACCGGAUAUCCCCACUGAGUCGCAUGGCUCGGUGAGGAAAUGGAUUCCGCUUCGGGAGGGGCUCGCGGCCUAUCAGCUUGUUGGCGGGGUAACGGCCCACCAAGGCGACGACGGGUA